CUAGCGUUGCUCGGAAUCACUGGGCGUAAAGGGUGCGUAGGCGGGGCUUUAAGUCAGGGGUGAAAUCCUGGAGCUCAACUCCAGAACUGCCUUUGAUACUGAGGAUCUUGAGUACGGGAGAGGUGAGUGGAACUGCGAGUGUAGAGGUGAAAUUCGUAGAUAUUCGCAAGAACACCAGUGGCGAAGGCGGCUCACUGGCCCGUUACUGACGCUGAGGCACGAAAGCGUGAGGAGCAAACAGG
rnacentral:rRNA from 1 species